rnacentral:lncRNA from 1 species
CGAGGGCUUCUCGAAACCGUACGAGUAGAGGCCGCGAAGCAGGUCCUCGCGGAUGCCCAUGCCGUCGAAGGUGCUGACCACCUUGACGCCCUUGGACGUGUCGAAGGUGAUGUUCUCAUCCUUGUCGAAGUCCAUCGUCGUGUCCCCCAUCGCCCCUCGCCUUCGUUCUCGCCUUGGUGUGUUUCUCUUCCCUCGAUCGUCGCGGGGCGCACGUCAAUUUACCUUUGUGGCGCGCACGAUCUGCGUCGCGGAGGUGGGUCGCGGGUCGCGGUUCGAGGAGCUCGAGGCGCGGCGGUUGGAACGAUCGGAGGUUGAUUCCGUGUCGCUUCGCGUCGGGGCGGCGCGUCC